CCGCCGCUCGCGCUCUCUCCAGGUCCGGUCUCUCUCUCUCUCUCUCUCUCUCUCUCCAGAUCGAUGACUUUUCCCUCUCUCGCCUUCCGCUCUCCCUUCUUUCUGUCCACUCCCUCUCUGUCCCUCCGACCCACUACCACGACACUGCACCACCGCAAUGCCUCUCUUUUCCAUCAGCGGCACCACCACCAAGUUUGUCUCUCUCUCUCUCUCUCUCCGAGUGAAUAUGGUGAUCCCAUCUGUCCCUCUCCCUCAGACUCUAUCUCUUUCUCGCGAUCUUAAAUCAACAUCCAUCCAUAUCUGAAAACCUUAAAUCGACUUCCAUCCAUACAUCAAAACCCUAAAUCGACCUCCAUGUAGACCUCAAAACCCUAAAUCGACUUCCACUGUAACUACUGAUGUUCAAAACCCUAGCCUAUUGAUGACUAAAACUCUCAAUCAACCCUAAAUGCCGUAUCUCAAAUGGGUUUUGUUAAAACUCAUGGGCCUUGUGCUUUUUUUCUAUAAAUAUAGUAAAUUGGGCGUAAGAAUAUGUUUUAUGAGCUGUUUCCUUGGUCCUGGAAGAAUUAAUGAGUUUUGGCUUAUUUUUUGAUUUUUCUGUACAGUAAAUAACUGAGCUUGGUAAUCCUAAAGGUAGAAAAACCAACACUUGAUUUGGUCUCCCAUAUUUCCAGGUGGGUUAUCUACCUGGAUUCAAGUCCUCUGUUUACUCCCAAGUAAAAAAGAGUCGCCUAUGAUGUAGGGAAGGGUGUGCUUGUUGAAUCUUCCCUUUUAAAUCUUAUUUUCGUGAUCAGGUACGUGAAAGAAGAUCUUCUCCCACAUUCGGAUUCUACUUCUGAACCGCCUCCCCUCUUUGAUGCAACUUCUCCAUGUUGUACACAUUUUACCGUGCCCGUUUGCUCAACGUGUUUGGAUGCCAAGAACUAUAAGUAGAAGAUGGGGAUUGUGAUCCUUUGAUACUUGCCUGAUCUGCUGAUAUAAUGUCAAUGAAACUGCUGGUCCAAGCACUCUGAAAAACUUUAUGUGCUUGUCUAGGCCUUGGUUUCCUUGAAGAUGCAAAUGAUGGAGCUCUCGACGCAAAUGGAGGGAUCUUCUACUGAAUCCACGUGCAUAGAUGAGGAUAGCUUUGUAAAAGUUAUGGGUCCUAAGCAACCUGGUAGUGUUCGAACAUUUGGAUUAGGCCCUUCUAUCAAAGAUGUCUUUGCAGGUGGAUAUCCGCGAUCACAAGAGGAAACCCAUAUAUUUCAAGCACAAAUGCAAGACUAGUUUCAAUUGUACCGGGUCCAAUUUGAGACAAAAAUGAAAAGAGAUGAUGGAGACGCAAAUGGAGGCUAUGCGUACGCAAAUGGAUGCUACUAUUCAAGCACAAGCUGCUACCAUUCAAGCUUAGCAAAUAAGGAUGGAGCAUUUGGAGUCUCAAUUGGUGACCAGGGGAGGGCCUGCUGCACGUGAGGCUGCUUGGGGUCACCACCCAAUGUCACGACCGCAACAAAACUCACACGAGUUUACCUCCUUGUCAAGUCACCAAAAGGUUGCCCAAUCAAAGACAAAGAACAAGAACAAGAACAAGAGCAAAAGGAGGCAUCAUAUAUAAACUGCCGCUUUUUUUUUUUUGGUUUUGUUUGUGUCUUGUUUCUUUUGUGUCUUGUUUUUUUUUUUUUGGAGUCUUGUGUACUCUAUUAGUUUGGAGUCCUGAGUCUUGUGUCCUGUGUUAGUUUGGCGUCUUGUGUACUAGUGUGGAUGGUGUUUCCUAGUUUUUGGAGGACUAAGGGAUCUAGAUUUUGUUGCUGACGCAAUCUGUGUUGUUGUAUUAUUAUUCUAUGAGGUAGAAUAUUAAUUGCUGAUAUAUUUUGAUGGAUUGAUGGCUGAAAGAAUAUGAGGUUAUGCUGGUUUGGCCUUAUAAAAUAGUUUCAAUCAA